GACGAACGCUGGCGGCGUGCUUAACACAUGCAAGUCGAACGGGUCUGCCCUGUUUUUUGCGGGGUGGGUCAGUGGCGAACGGGUGAGUAACACGUGAGUAACCUGCCCCUCACUUCUGGAUAACCGCUUGAAAGGGUGGCUAAUACGGGGUGUUCUGGCUGUGCCGCAUGGUGUGGCUGGGAAAGAUUCACUUUUGUGGUGUUUUGGUGGGGGAUGGGCUCGCGGCCUAUCAGCUUGUUGGUGGGGUGAUGGCCUGCCAAGGCUUUGUCGGGUAGCCGGCCUGAGAGGGUGGGCGGUCACACUGGGACUGAGAUACGGCCCAGACUCCUGCGGGAGGCAGCAGUGGGGGGUAUUGCACAAUGGGCGGAAGCCUGAUGCAGCGACGUCGCGUGAGGGAUGGAGGCCUUCGGGUUGUGAACCUCUUUCGCCGGUGAAGAAGGUCCUGCUCUUUGUGGUGGGGUUGACGGUAGCCGGGUUAUGAAGCGCCGGCUAACUACGUG
rnacentral:rRNA from 1 species